GUGACAUAAGCACUGAAGCAUGCUUUUGUGAACUACUUGAAUCAAUCUGAAUCAAUUGGUGUCAAAAUUAGUAUCCAAAUUUAUUUAAUAUAAGUAUGAAACAUAUUUUCAUGAGACUGUUAUGAAAGAAGAGAAAGGCAUUAUCACACCACUAGGUGGAUUAAGAAGGGUUUUUUUUUAUUUUAUUCAAUUCUCGUUCCUCAUUCAAUAUGUAGAGACAUCUUUCAGAUGUCAUCUGUCAAAACUUACAUUAGUGUGUUAGUUAUUGUGCUUCAGUGACACUACUUUCGGAAAACAAGGAACAAUGGAGAAUAAAGAAUUUCGUGUGUUGAUAAAACAAUGGUUUUAAACAGUUUCUUAAAUCAAUCCACAUCGAAAUCCAUUCUCUUUCGACAUACAUUAUUAUUCAAGAAAGUGAAAAAUCAAAUUCUCACAGUAAGUAUAUUUUUCAAGAAACUAGUAACAUGCCAAUCAGAUAAGUGUCACGGAAAGUGAGAUAUAUACAAUUAUUAAAACAAAGUGUUCAUCAUUAGUCAUAAAAUGUUGCUAGACACCAAAAAACAUUGAAGAUCAUGUGCCACCUAGGAAUAGAAGUAACUUCCCAGCCAAACUGCACAAAACUGUUCCGAUACUAGUAAUGUGCUGUCGUAGAUUAAUUAUGCCGUUUCCGAUUAAUUCGACCCGGAAAUUUAGACGCAGCUUUCAAUGCCAAACAGCCGUGACGACUAGAGCUUUAAAAUCUAGCAUUGUUCGCCCUGCUCGUUAGUUGUUGGGCAACUAUAGCCAUAUUAAUUGUCAUCGGUUAUAUUGUAAUAUAAAUCAGUUCGGCAGAGAAGUACCUUACUGUGAAAUGUUUCGACUAGGACUAAAACAGGUUUUUAAAUGGAUUCUUAUUGGGACUAUCGCUACAUCGCAAUGGUUAACAAUGACAGCGGCAAAUCUGGCUCCCAGAUCUGAGUUUUUGGAUUUAUGUGGGCCACCUGGUAAUGAAAUACUUUGCACCUGUGAAGGGGAAGGCGCAGAUAUGGUGUGUACCCCACUUGAUUGGGAAGGAAAUCAGUAAGCUGAAACAAUAUGAAAAAGUGACCCCGGAUGAGAAGAUAUGUCAGUUUUAAAAUUUAAAUUAGGAAAUUAUGACAAAUAAAACUAACAACUCUAGCAGCGUU